rnacentral:rRNA from 1 species
CCCUUAGACGUUCUGGGCCGCACGCGCGCUACACUGACGAAGGCAACGAGCUUUCCUUUACCGAAAGGUACGGGUAAUCUUUUGAAACUUCGACGUGCUGGGGAUAGAUCCUUGCAAUUAUCGAUCUUAAACGAGGAAUUCCUAGUAAGCGCAAGUCAUCAACUUGCGUUGAUUACGUCCCUGCCCUUUGUACACACCGCCCGUCGCUACUACCGAUUGAAUGGUUUAGUGAGGCCUUCGGAUCCGCGACUCGUUUUGUGGAGAAGUUGGACAAACUCAGUCAUUUAGAGGAAGUAAAAGUCGUAACA